AUUGAACGCUGGCGGCAGGCCUAACACAUGCAAGUCGAACGAGUGGCGGACGGGUGAGUAAUGUCUGGGAACCUGCCUGAUGGAGGGGGAUAACUACUGGAAACGGUAGCUAAUACCGCAUACCAUCGGAUGUGGCCAGCUGGGAUUAGCUAGUAGGUGGGGUAAAGGCUCUUCUAGGCGACGAUCCCUAGCUGGUCUGAGGUGAUGCCGAGCCACACGGGACAUGAGACACGGUCUAGACUCCUACGUGUGGCAGCAGUCGGGAAUAGUGCACAAUGGGCGAAAGGCUGAGGCAGCAAGGAGGGGUGUAUGAUGAAGGAUUUCGGAUUGUGAAGUACUUUCGGCGGGGAGGCGUUACCCGCAGAAGAAGCCCCGGCUAACUCCGUGCCAGCAGCCGCGGUAAUUC
rnacentral:rRNA from 1 species